AAGACGACCCUGACAGGCGGGCCCCGCCUGUCAGCGGCGCGGUGCGGCGCGUGGGGACCGGGCCGGUCGGUUCGGCUCGGGCGCCCGGAACUGGGCCGUUUCGGCCGAAAACGGCGGGGCCGGUCCGGUUUUGUCCUUUUUUUUUUCUUUUAGCCCUUUUCUUUUUCUGUUUUUCUUAUUUCUUUGAUAUCUUUUGAUUUUGAACUCCACAUUGGUCCAAAUAAAUUCCCGAAAAUUUGUAAAAUCAUGUUUUACCAUGAUACAACUUUUGGGAGUGAUUUCCCCUCAAAAUAAAAUAUCUAAAAAUACAUUUGCCCUAUAAAUGCUUUUAGGGCUAUAUAACUAUUUUAAGUAAAAUGCUUUUUCAACUCCAAAUAUUUAUCCAAAAAUUAUGGGAUAGCUCAUUUAUGCAAUAAACCCCUUUUAUAAGUAAACCUGAUUGGUUUGAAGAUUCAAAGCUCAAAUGGGUGUAAACCCUAGGGUUUAAAUUGAAAUAAAAACUUUUAAAGCCUUUGAGAUUCAAAUUUGAAUUCAAACAUGCACUUGUAAUCCGGACCACCAAAAUGUUUCCUUUAGGUCCCUGUACUUUUUCGUGUUCCCAGGGUGGAUUGAGUACGGUGAAUCAUGAGCAUCUUGUAAAAUCAGCUUCUUGUGGAUCCUCGGGCACUGCUGCUGCUGAUUCUGCUGCUGGUGUGUGCUGCUGCCGUUGUUGUUUUCGGUCUGGCGGUUCUGAUGGCCAUACCUUCCACUGCAUCUGUCGUUGUGGCCCCCGGCCCUAUGCACAGACGAACUGCCACUCCCGUCUUGGGUGAUGCGCGGCUUCUGAUGCGGCCCCGCGUGAGAGCCUCCCCGGUGAAGUCUCCUCUUGCGGUUCUCCAUCUGGUGGAGCUUGUUCUCCAACACAAUCGCCUUGUCAAUGAGCGACUGG
rnacentral:lncRNA from 1 species